rnacentral:lncRNA from 1 species
GCUGGUUUGGAAAGAAGAGGGGCAACGCGGCGGCGGCCCGAAACGAGGUCAAGGUCAGAGCCCUCAAGGAAGCAAGACAGAGAGGAGGCGCAGGAGGAAAAGUGUAUCUGGAGGAGUCCCCCACCAAUGUGGCCAGUACCUCAUGCCUGAUGACCCCUCAUUCUAGCGCCACAGUCAUCACAAGCAAAGCUUUUGAGGAACCUGGUGUCCCUGGGGGCAAUAACCGCCUGGCAGCCAGACGUCUUGGGGCCACGAGGAAUCCCUCCUCUGCCUCUCUCUAGCGUGCCCUUUGGCCUGGACUCCCAAACUGACAAAUAGGAGUAAUCUGCACCUUCUAGGGCCCUUUUGAAGAGGACUUGAGCAAAUGUGUCAAGAAGCAAGCCCAGCGCCCAGUACUGGUCUACAUCUGUGUAGCAAAAGCUACAUAAAUAUCUGCA